UCUUUUGAUGAUAUCGCAGGCGGUGUCAAUUUGGAAUUGCAGUUCCGCUCCUUUGUACAUUUGUGAUUUUCAUGACUUUGAGGCCGAUUACUUUCCCGAUUAGACCCAAAAGAGAAUGACCCAAAUUAUCAUGAUACACCUGCUCUCCAAGACGAAAAUGUGUUAGAGUCCCCAGUUAAUAAUGUGGAAAUAACAUAUUAGAGUUAAGCUUUAUUUUUGUAGAGUUAUGUCUCUUGGAUGGUCUACACAUGUCCUUGUUGCCCAAUAUACUUCUCAUCGUUCUUCAAAGUCUCUUGCAACUACUUGAGGAAUAAUACAUGUUAUAUGUUUUAGUAAAUUUGAAUUGAAUGGAUUCAUUAUAUAAUGUAUUCAAGUCGAUAUUUUAUAGUAUUAUUGAAUGAGUCAAAGAACAAAGUUUUAUACUAGUUUUCUACAAUAGUGUAUAUCUUUCAACACUUACAUAUUUUGGAUUAAUUAGUUGAAUGUUUAUUCACCCAGUAGUCCGUCAAUGAUCUCUCGUGCUGGCUCCCAUGACCAUAAAAACAAAAACAAAAACUAUGAGUUUGCUAAAUUUUGUUACAACAGAUAUAUUUACCACAACUUUUUAAUACAAAAUGGGAAAUAAAAGGAAUAUUCAUAGUAACAUUAUGGCAUAUGCUUCAAGAUUAUCCUGACGUGGCUUUGCAAUAUCUUAUUUUUAACAUCAUCUAAGCCGUAAAGCAAUACGAUUAAAUUUUGUGGGGAAUCGGAUUAAUUUUACAUAAAAUAAAAAGUAAGUCCAUGAUGUUAACCCAAGUGAGCCUAUGAUGUUAACCUCUUAAUUGUUUUUUUAUUUAUUUUGUACUAUAUUAUAGCUCUACCGUGAAGAAAUGAAACUAGUCAUAAAGAAUAGCAUAAUAUAAUUAAGGGGUCCAGUUAUAUGAUGCAGUGUCGUAUAUCUUAACUUCUUGGCAAAUAUCUUAUUGUUAAUUUUCUAUAAUAAACUAAUCAUGCUGACUAGGAUUCAUUAUUUCAAAGUUUCUCUAAUUCUGUAUUUAGAUUCUUUGAUAAUGGAUGUAUCUAUGUGCUUAUUUAUCUUAACAUAUUUUAAACACAUUAAACAACGUUUUUAAUCUGUGAAUAUUAAUUACGAAAUUAAUAUACAAAUUACUUAAGCUUCAUAAUUCAUCUUCCACGAAACAACCAUACAUAAACGACUAUCAAUUUCAAAUCAGUAACUAUUAUAUAAAGACAAUUAAAAGAAAGGUUAAAGGACAUUCUAUUGAAAUGCAAGUAUUUAUAUAUAACACUAGUUUUUCGCAAAAAAAAAAAAAAAAUACAACACUAGCAGAACCGUUAAACAUCACAAGAAACAUAUAGCUAAAAACCAUAAAGAUUCUCUUUUUUUUUUUUGUCAUCUGAUCUUAUUAUUAUAAAUUGAAUCGCACACUCAAAACUACAAACAGAGCUCAAGCCACUAACCAGCAUGGAAAAAAAUCCAUCUGGAGACAAAGCCCCAACACUAGGGAAACUUAAGAACUUAAGGAUAUCAAUAAAACCGCAUCACAAACAAUGCGAUCCAUCUUCAAAGAAGAAGAAGCAUACUCACCGAGCCAGAGCUGCCGACGGGUAGA
rnacentral:lncRNA from 1 species